rnacentral:lncRNA from 10 species
AUCGUGGUGUAUGGUUGGAAAGCCACAGGGAAAGAGCUAAGGAUGAAAAGCAAAACUAAAGGAGAGAACAAUCAAAGGAUCACAUACACAUACAAAAAAAAUUGAACUAAGGCCAUUUAAUUUUGCUUACUUUAAAGCUUGACCACCAUUCAGACUUACAAUAAUGUGAAUAAAUAAUUCUGCCACUGCAGCCAAUCUUUCUUAUAUACAUGCUUAAUAGAUAGCUACUUAAAAUAACUUACACACGUUUUAGAGUUGCUUGAAAACUAUCUGAUCAAGACAUAGUAAUUGAAACCAAUGAAUACAUUAUAUAAAGUAAAGGAAAGGAGAAGAGAGGAAAGGAGGGGAGAGGAGAGGAGGACAAGCGAGAAAGGAAGGAAGGAGAAAAGGGGAAGGGAGGUAGAGAGAGAGAGAAAAGUGCUGGGUCAUAUAGUAAGUGUACAUUUAACUUUUUAAGAAACUACCCUACUCUAUUCCAGAGUGAUUGUACCAUGUUGCAUUUUUACUGGCAAUUUAUAAGAGAUUCAUUUUCUCUACAGCAUUGGGUACUAUCAGUUUUUUUUGUUUUGUUUUGUUUGGUCUUGAGACGGAGU